rnacentral:lncRNA from 1 species
AAAGCCUUAACUGUUGCGGCACUUUUAAGUUAAAUCUAACUUGAAUACUCAAAGUAUCUAGUACACAUGCUUCUAUGAAAGCUGAAAGGUACAAUUUUAAAUCACCUACUACAAUUGAACUAGAAUAAAAGAAAGACAAUGGAAUUGGUUCUUCUAUCUUGUCCAAGUAGCUUCACGAAUGCACACUCAAAUCUCACAUAAAUUUCUUGCAAAAUUGCCUCAGCUUUUUUCUCUUAAUUUAGUUUCACUUCUACGUUUGUGCAAUACAUGUAUAAGAGAACAAUCGUUGUUAUUUAAUGAGUUAGUAAUUAGAGUUUGAUUGAGACUCAAUUGCUAAUUUUCCAUCAAAGUUGAGUCCUUGAAAACCACAAACUCCAACCCUAUCCUUUAUCCGGAUCUGUGUUCUCUUCUCAUACGGAGACUUUUCCUCCUUAUCCAAUAUGCAACCUUUUCGAUUACUUCAGUAGAUAUUGUUUCUUGAUUAAUGGGGCUUAUCUCCUUCAUAUGCAUCUCACAUGUAUAUGUUGAAAAACACUAUGCUUCACCUGUUGGACCUGGUCCAUCAACUUCCAUGACUAAGUUCAUUUUUUAUUCUUCAAAACUACAUAUGUUCUUGGGCCAACAAAUUCCCCCUUUUUGAUAAUGAUAAACUCUGUGUUUGUUAUUGAUCAAAGAACCUGUAAGAAAUUAGCUUAACCAUUAACACUUUACUUAGAAAUCUUUACUUAUCAUCAAGGACCAGGUUAAUUAGGUUAUAAAUACCACUUAAUUCAGAAUAAUAUCUAAAGCACAAUCUCUCUUCCCCAUU